AUCUCUUCUGGGGUUUGUCUCAGUUCCCUUUGGUGGGAACCCUGACUUUGGAUUUGCCAAAAAUUCACCCUCUGAAGAUGUUGCAGCUACAAGACUUUGGUGCAGUGGGAUGGUGUGUACAUUUUGAAGCCUCUCUAGAGAGUGGUCUGUGUAAGUGCCAUGAUACAGGUUUCUGAAGGGCAGACACUAGCCUGGUUUUGGCUGAGAUAGUUUUCUUUGUAGAGGAUGGAAUGAUGCUGUGUUUUGGAUUUAGGAGAAAAAUAAUGUUGAUAAUGCAUAGAUGUCAUUGCAGAGAAGUGCUUACGUGCAAGCAAGGAGUUUUCUGCUUCUUGUGCUGGCCUGCCAGCAAGGAGGCUGGGGGUACACCAGGAGCUGGGGGGGACACAGCCAGGACAGCUGGCCAGAGGGAUAGCCCAUACCCUUUGGUGUUGUGUUGAACUAAAAAACUAGGGGGUGUUGGCCGGAGAGGCAGCUGCUGCUCAGGGGUGGGCUGGGUAUUGGUUGGCUGGUUGUGAGCAACUGUGUUGUGCAUCACUUGUUCUGUGUAUUCUUCUAUCAUUAUUAUUAUUUUUCCUUCCUUUUCUGUCCUAUCUCAAACUAUGAGUUUUACUUUUUCCCAAAUCCUCUCUCCCAUUCCCUCUGGGGGGGAAGUGAGCAAACGGCUGUGUGGUGCUGAGCUGCCUGCUGGGCUGAGCCCCAACACAGUGCUAGAUAAUAGUGUGAAGCCUGAGUGCCACAGAAGAGGUGCAUGAGAACAAGGCUUUCAAUUUCCACUGCAUGGCCAUGGAUAAAGACUCAAGUGCACAAACAGGAAGCACCCUUGAUCUCUGCAAGUAAGCAUGGAAAGGAAGAAACAGGCCUGGAGGAGAAGCAAGCUUAACAGAAGUACCUUUUUGUAAUGACAGUCACAGUGGUACAAUUCAGUUGUGUGUGUGCUCUCUUACGGAUAUGUAAUUAGAGACUGGAAAAAGUGGAGCAGUUUUGAGCUGAUGGAUGGGAGUCCUCCUAGGCUUGAAUCCUUUCACCCCAGAGAUCAGUCUUUCUGCCUUUACUGAGAGACGAGCCUGUUUGUGGAAAGGUGUAUCCACAAGGACUAAUAAAACAUUCCCGGAUGUACCUGCUCCUUCAGUGAUUAGCGCCAGCACCAGGACAUCCUACAGCACCUCCAGCCGAAGCGUGCUGCCGAAGGUGGCUCAGCUGGUUACCGGCUCCUCCUUCCCUUGGAGUUAUCAGUCUGCUUUGACCUUUCUGUCACCUUUACUAGCAGACACUUGGCUGCUUGCUGCUGACUCAGAAGCUGCUGUCUCAGCUGAGAAUACCCUGCUUUGCCACUUCAUAUAUCUACUAGUACAGAUCUGUGAUUGCAGUUCAUGUAUGUGGCUGAUGAAGAGGUGGGCAAGUCUUCCUUCCUGGCUGACCUUGUGA
rnacentral:lncRNA from 1 species